ACCACCACCUUCCUGUUCUAAGUACUAGCGCCGCAGGAGUGUUUACAUCUCUUUUGGUAUAUUAAAUUCACUCCUGCAGCCUUGGUGCUUACUAUGGGACGGUGCAGG
rnacentral:pre_miRNA from 1 species